rnacentral:rRNA from 1 species
UACAGAGGUCUCAAGCGUUGUUCCGGAUUCAUUGGGCGUAAAGGGUGUGUAGGUGGCGCGCUAAGUCGGGUGUGAAAUUUCGGAGCUUAACUCCGGAAACUGCAUUCGAUACUGGCGUGCUUGAGGGACUGGAGAGGGAGACUGGAAUUCAUGGUGUAGCAGUGAAAUGCGUAGAGAUCAUGAGGAGACCAGUGGCGAAGGCGG